rnacentral:lncRNA from 1 species
GCUUCCGUGAGGGUCUGAGGUGAGCCCUUCUGUAUGGGAGGGUUGCAAUCUCCUCCUUUAUUGGGGGAUCCUGGCCACAUUUUGAGGCUGGCAACCAUCUGUACCUGAAAACUGCUUCUUUGGGAGUGUGGUUUGCAACUCGAUGGGGUUUAAAGAUUGUUGGCGCUCCUCUAAUCGGUGGUGUGAGGCCUGUGGAGCUGGUGGCAGCAGAAAGCCAUGGUGCUCCCAAGUACUGUAAGGACUGCAUGGAGAGAUGUGCGGGUCUUCAUGGGAACAGCAAGGAACUGAAAGCUGCAUUUCCUGGGAUGCCCUGGAACCCCACUUUGCUGACUGGUAACUGUCUGCCCGGCAGGUGGCAGCAGAAAGCUGUGGUGCUCCCGAGUGCUGUAAUGACUGCACGGCGAGAUGUGCGGGUCUUCAUGGGAACAGCAAGGAACUGAAAGCUGCAUUUCCUGGGAUGCCCUGGAACCCCACUUUGCUGACUGGUAACUGUCUGCCCGGCAGUGCUAAUGUGACGCAACGCCCUCAGCAAACUUACCAAGGGUGCACUCCAUGCCAUCAGGCAGGUCUUCAAUGACGAUAUUGGACAGAACAGGCCUGAAGAGCACUCAGGAUGGCAUACCAGCUGCAUUUAACACGAUUGAGCAGCACUCAUUAGGCCAGGCAGUUCAGCUAGUUCUUCAUCUAGCAAGCAAUGUACCCGUCCAAGUAGCCGGCUGCAAUCUUUCAGAGAAUUUUAAGGGAUAGCACAUCAAAGGGUUUGCCUCACUCAUGGGGUUGGGUCACCUUUGCUUUGAGUUUGCUACCGUGGCUGACCCUAAUCCUGUAACUGACAUCCUGUAGCUGGACAGAGACCAUUCACACUCCAUCCAGGCUGUUUGAGACUCACAGCCAUGCUGAGAGUCACACUGAUUUCAGCGUGUGCAGUCAUUUUGCAUCAACCCAAUUGGCUUUAGCUUUACAAAUAAUUUGAUCUCAACCAAAUUGGCUUUAGCUUUGCAGUUAAUGCAUUGCAAAUAAG